AGGUGUUGUUGGAUAAGAUGAUCCAUGCGUCGGAUGGGCAUGUAAAAAGUCGGUCCUGCACCUGCAAUUUCUCGCCAGUCGUUUCGGUCUUCCGCCCCACUGGGUUAUGAGAGUAAAGGAAUAGAGAGUGUUCUUGUGUACUGCGCACACACCUGGGCACUAUAAAA